UCCUGGGAUGGGGAGAUGGGUCUUGUAGGGAGCCCAAGGAAGGAGAGCAAUUACCUGCCAUGAGAAUUCUCAAUCUCAGGUUUGAUUAUGAAAUUUAGCAAAAGAUGGGGAAGAGUGUGCUUCAGAAGCUCUAUACAUUAUUUGGGGGCACUGAUGAAUAUAAUUACGCUCUGGGACUGGACAAGCUUACAGAUACUGAGAUGUUCUUUCUAGCAUCCAUGUAUUUCUGCUUCCCUCGCUGACAAGACGGUCCUGGUGUUGUAGGGUGGUAACAUCUUCCCUACACUGAACCGACCUCCGGAAUCAAUUUUUAUUCUUGCGGAUAUGAACCAUUUGGAAUAAAUGAGAGCUUGGGCCGAAGAUCUACGCUUGUCAAGUAGUAAUUCUAGUGAUCAGGAUUAUACUAUCAGAAAUGAAAUGAAAAAAGAAGAAGAACUUGUGGAUGAUUGUGAAGGGAAAAUUGAAGUUGACGUUACAAAUGCAUUUUUAAUCGAGACGUACAACAACCACGGAAAUAAUAUGUAUUCU